UACGUAGGGGGCAAGCGUUGUCCGGAAUCAUUGGGCGUAAAGAGCGUGUAGGCGGCCCGAUAAGUCCGCUGUAAAAGUCCAGGGCUCAACCCUGGAAAGCCGGUGGAUACUGUCGGGCUCGAGUCCGGAAGAGGCGAGUGGAAUUCCUGGUGUAGCGGUGGAAUGCGCAGAUAUCAGGAGGAACACCGAUGGCGAAGGCAGCUCGCUGGGACGGUACUGACGCUGAGGCGCGAAAGCGUGGGGAGCGAACAGG
rnacentral:rRNA from 1 species